AUUGAACGCUGGCGGCAUGCCUUACACAUGCAAGUCGAACGGCAGCACGGGAGCAAUCCUGGUGGCGAGUGGCGAACGGGUGAGUAAUAUAUCGGAACGUGCCCAGUCGUGGGGAUAACGUAGCGAAAGCUACGCUAAUACCGCAUACGAUCUACGGAUGAAAGCGGGGGAUCGCAAGACCUCGCGCGAUUGGAGCGGCCGAUAUCAGAUUAGGUAGUUGGUGAGGUAAAGGCUCACCAAGCCGACGAUCUGUAGCUGGUCUGAGAGGACGACCAGCCACACUGGGACUGAGACACGGCCCAGACUCCUACGGGAGGCAGCAGUGGGAAUUUUGGACAAUGGGCGCAAGCCUGAUCCAGCAAUGCCGCGUGCAGGAUGAAGGCC
rnacentral:rRNA from 1 species